rnacentral:lncRNA from 1 species
UUGCCCAAGGUCUCACAGCAAGCGAAUUCCAGAGGCAAGAUUCAACCAUGCAGCUGCCCAGCUGUGCUCCUCACACCUGCCUAAUGGCUUUCUCCCCUCCAGGCUGGAGGGAGCUGUCCUUUGAUUAGAUCUGCAUUGAGGGCAGGAAGGCUAACACUGUCAUUGGAUCAACCUGGGGUUGAAAAGUGCAUUUUCCCUUCUUGUCCUUAGAACAGCCCUAUGAGGCAGGGAAACAGGAAAAAUGAAGACCAUCUUUGAGGAAUAAACUGACUUGCCUAAGGUCACAUGUACUCUGCCUGACUCUGCAGAUGCAAUGGGAAUGAAACAGGCGUGGACCUUGGCCUUGAUC